rfam:Oryza sativa (indica cultivar-group) chromosome 3, whole genome shotgun sequence.
AUCCCAUGAUGAGGAUAGGCGGCCACGUACUCCUGUAGUCGUUCCCAUGCUUCUGGAAUGGACUCGUCCCUUGUCUGCUGGAAACUGGAAAUUCGUCCACGAAGGAC